AUGCCUUAAACUGAUGAGUAAGGAAAAUAACGACGCGGGGUGACGCCCGUGUCCUCGCUGGCUUAUGCGAGAAGAAUUUUUGAAAGGGUACAGGUCGCCCUGUCUGAGGUGACUCGCCUACUUUGCGAGAUGCCUUGUAGGUAGUGAUCUGCCCC
ensembl:snRNA U12 U12 minor spliceosomal RNA